rnacentral:rRNA from 1 species
GACAGAGGUGCAACAGUUGUUCGGAAUUACUGGGCGUAAAGCGUGCGCAGGCGGUUUUGUAAGUCUGUCGUGAAAUCCCCGGGCUCAACCUGGGAAUUGCGAUGGAGACUGCAAGGCUGGAAUCUGGCAGAGGGGGUAGAAUUCCACGUGUAGCAGUGAAAUGCGUAGAGAUGUGGAGGAACACCGAUGGCGAAGGCAGCCCCCUGGGUCAAGAUUGACGCUCAUGCACGAAAGCGUGGGGAGCAAACAGG